rnacentral:rRNA from 1 species
UACGUAGGUGGCAAGCGUUGUCCGGAAUUAUUGGGCGUAAAGCGCGCACAGGCGGCUUCUUAAGUCUGAUGUGAAAUCUUGCGGCUCAACCGCAAGCGGUCAUUGGAAACUGGGAGGCUUGAGUGCAGAAGAGGAGAGUGGAAUUCCACGUGUAGCGGUGAAAUGCGUAGAGAUGUGGAGGAACACCAGUGGCGAAAGCGGCUCUCUGGCCUGUCACUGACGCUGAGGUGCGAAAGCGUGGGGAGCAAACAGG